CGUGUAGUCUCCCGUGUACCUGGAGCUUUGCCACCGAGAGGCAAUAUAAUCCAACAAUCCGGGAACUGUACUGUUAAGUCCAUCUUGGACUGCUCCGUCAGCCAGCUUCUAGUCUCCUGAGAUCACGAGAAGCUCAGCAGGGCGCUGCCAGAACAGGAAGUGACAAAGGCAGCUGAUUUCAUCAGUGAUAUGAAACCCACGGUUCCCGUUGAGAAGAAGACUCUUCCUCUUUGGAAAAAUAAUUUGAGAAGAACCUGGGGGAAAAGUUCACUUCCACUUCUCCUCAGUCACCAUCACCAGGGACCUCCAUGAAGGCCAAAACCAAGGCUCAAGAGAAAAGGGCUGAAAUACUCUGAAAAUAAAAGGAGAAGUCAUUGGACCUCCUCAGGAAAUCCACUGGAAAGCAGAGAGGAGGAGAGAGAGAAUUGUGUGCCAUUGAGAAGGAGGAAUUGCAUUUUGAGCUGUGACCUCUCACCUAGACAUCCUUCAUCAAUUCCUCAGGGCCCUCUUCUGUUAAGAGUCUUACACAUGCUUAUUUGAGUGAGUUUUUGUGGUGGAAACUAAAGCAACUAUGUUUCACAUUUGGCAUGGGAUGACCUAGACAACCCAGGAGGAAGCGGAACCCAGGAGGAAGCGGAAAGCCAGAGAGGCAGAGGAGACUCAGAGAACAAUGUAAGACUGGUCUGCCCUAGGGGAAUGUAGCAGAAAUCUUGUUUCACUUUCCACAGGCCCAGUUAUUAGAGAGUUGAAGGUAAUUUUACCUACAUCUCAAGGGGUAGGUCAGCCCCCAAUUGACAUACCAGUUAGUUAUAUAAGAACUAGAAAAAGCCACCAAGUUCAUAUCAAGGAAAAAAUAUUUCAACCAGAUGACUGAGGGCUCUGAACUCCUGAGAAGAAACUGUUACUCAACUGCUGCAGAGACAUCUUCCAGGAAGAGGGGAUGGUCCAGGUGUGUCCAGAGCUCACACCUGGACUGGGAGUUAUAUUCCAAAAACUGAGCAUGUUUUUCAGAUGGAAUAACUCUGAGGGCUCCUAGGCUGGUGUUCAUCUAUGCAGAAAUCAGAAAAGCCAGGCCUGACUUAUCAUAGGGGCUAAAUAAAUAAAUAAAUAGAAGUCCUAUGGCUGUUUUUAGCCUGAUUAUUAGCCCCACUAAUACCCAGGAAAUAAUGUGAAGUUCUGCCACUAAUAUAAAAUUAUUGCCAUUAUUCCAUUUACUCAAGAACUUAAUGGAUUCUGUUCAUCAGUGCAUGUCUUUGACAUUUCAAGUUUGUAUUUUUUUCUCUUAAGCAUUUCCAUUUCUCUUCACAAUUGCAAAGUUAGGUUGAAUUAUUAUUUUUUCCUCCCUUUCUAUGACUGAUUCUCCUUUUCCUUUAUAAAUUAUCUAUUUGACUCAUUUACAGACCUAGCAUAAACUCAACCUCAUACUAUCUGUCCUGAGUAAUUAGCUGUUCUUUUUAUGGAUCAAAGGGAAGGGUUUGUCAUCAGACUCCUCAAUAAGUCAUCUCUCACAAAGAAUAAAUAAUGCUAUUACUUUAAGUAAAAUCAUUCUUUAACUUACUAGAAAAAAAGCCGAAGAGAAAUGUAUUAGCCAUUUGUCUUGUAAUCCAGUUUGAUUCUCCUCUCUUUGUCUCUACCAGAAGAGGAUCAUAAGGCAGCAUAAAUGUCCACAUUGGGACACAGUGCUACAUCUGUUCUCCCAUCACUCAAAGACAAGGACCACAUGGCUGGCUCAGGAAGGAAAGUGGUACUGAAAUACCAGGCACACUCACUUGCCAAAUUCUGGAAUAUUAGGAUCUUCGCUUAAUCUGUUCCAAAUUAUAACCUAGUAGGGAAAAGUUUGUAUUUUUUAUCUGUAGCCAUGGGAAUAUUUGGCAAGAGGAAAACUUGUAUCUCAGCUCCCUCUGCUGGCGUUUCAGAAAACAAUUUGUCCCCUUAUUACCAGGUCCUGUGCUUUAUACACACAGAGGGCCAUCUUCUUGCCAAAUGUGAGCUGAUAGGGAAGUUAGGUCCACAUCAAUAGGGAAAAUCUUCUCAAGGAGCCCGGUGCUCCAAAAGAUGAAAAUAGGAGAGGGGCCUUCCCAACGGUGAGUCCAAACUAAAAUGGAGAUUCUCCAGCCCCCUCUAUAAAGUAAGCCUGAGAUGAAUUCAGACAUGCUUAUUCUGAAAAAGAAUCCCAGGUGAUUCUGCUGGACCUCCUCAUUAGGAAUUAUCUAAUGACUUUCCCUCUCUUUGAGAGUCUGCCUGCCGAUGCAAGGGACACGGGUUUGUGCCCCGGUCCGGGAAGAUCCCACAUGCCGCGGAGCGGCUGGGCCCGUGAGCCAUGGCCGCUGAGCCUGCGUGUCCGGAGCCUGUGCUCCACAACGGGAGAGGCUACAACAGUGAGAGGCCCAUGUACCGCAAAAAAAAAAAAAAAAAAAAAAAAAAAAACAAUGGGUCAAUGAAGAAAACAAGGAGGAAAUCAGAAAAUAUCUCAAGACAAAUGAAAAUAAAAACACAACUUUCCAAAACCUAUGGGGCAAAGCAAAAGCAGUUCUAAGAGGGAGUUUUAUAGAGAUAUAGGUCUAUCUCAAGAAACAAGAAAAAUCUCAAAUAAACAACCUAAAGAAAUUAGAAAAAGAAGAACAAAGCCCAAAGUCAGCAAAAGGGAAGAAUAAAGAUCAGAGAGGAGGAACUUCCCUGGUGGUCCAGUCGUUAAGACUGUGCGCUCUCAGUGCAGGAGGCCUGUGUUCAAUCCCUGGUCAGGGAACUAGAUCCUGCAUGCCGCAACUAAAAGGUCCCGUGUGCUGCAACUAAGACCCAGUGCAGCCAAAUAAAUAAAUAUUUUUUAAAAAAACAGAGAGGAAAUAGAGACCAAAAGUAAUAUUAAUAAUACAAAACCCACACAAAACCAAAAACAAAACAAUAGAAAAGACCAAUGAAACCAAGAGCUGUUAUGUUGAAAAGAUAGACAAAGUUGAUGACCCUUUAGCCAGGCUCAUCAAGAAGAAAACAGAGAUGAGCCAAAUAAGUCAAAUAAGAAAUCAAAGAGGAGAAACAACAACUGAUAUCAUAGAAAUACAAAUCAUCAUAAGAGAAUACUAUGAAGAGUUAUAUGCCAACAAAUUGAACAAACUAGAAGAAAUGGAUAAAUUUCUAGGAAAAUACAAUCUUCCAAGACUGAAUCAGGAAGAAACAGACAAUCUGAACAGACUGAACACUAGCGAUAAAAUUGAAUAUGUAAUAAAAUAAAAAAAAUCCCAGCAAACAAAAGUCCAGAAGCAGAUGGCUUCACAGGUCACUUCUAUAAAACAUUUUAAAAAGUAUUAAUAUUUAUCCUUUUCAAACUAUUCCAAACAAUUAAAGAAGAGGCAACACUCCUAGACUUAUUUUAUGAAGUUACCAUUACCUUAACAUCAAAACCGGAUAAAAUCACUACAAAAAAAGAAAAUUACAUGUAAAUUAUAUUGUUUAGUUUUCAAUUAUUUGAGGGUGUUUCAGACAGGUUUUUAUUUUUUUAUUUUUAGUUAAGUUCAAUUUGUUCAAAGAGUAUACUUUAUGUAAUUUGAUUCCUUUUAAUUUUAUUAUGAAUAUUGCCUAUCUUGUUGAAUGAUCAAUAUGGAUUUGAAUGUGGAUUCUGUUUUUGUGAGUGGAUUUUACUGUAAUUAUUAUUUAGGCAAAAUUAUCUAAUGACUUUGCUCAGGUAUUCUAUAGCCUUAUUUAGUUGUUCUAAUUAUUCCUAAGGGUGAAGUGUUGAAAUCUUCAACUCUAAUUGUGGAUUUGACUGUGUCCCUUUUUCAGUUAUAUCAGGUUUUUUUAAAUAUGUUUUGAAAUUGUUAUUAGGUUCUCUGAUUUUUCUCUUUUCUUUCAGAUUAAUUUACUAUUUUAUGAUUCCAUUCUAUAUUAUUUAUUGGAUUAUUACCUGUAAUUUGUGUUGUAUUUAGUAAUUAUUCUAGGACUACAGUAUUCAUUCUUAUUGUAGUAAGAAUUCAAAUAAUAUUAUACUACUUCACAUAGAGUAUAAACAUGUUUCAACAGAAUGCUUUCACAACUAGGGCACCUGCAGAUGCUGGUGGAGGACCCCAACAUCCAAGGAGAUGGGAAGAACCCCCAAGGGAACCGAAAGGAUGUGGGGGGACUGAGGGGAGGGGAGAAGUGGAGGCUGGACAGGACCAGUGCCCCUGAGGGGUGGCUGAGAGGAUGGAGGGUUUCCCACACCUGGAGGGACCCUCAAGGGCUUGAAUCAGGGGGAGCAGCCACAGCACUUCCCCUGCCUAACCGGUUGGGGAAGUCUUCCCAGCUCUCAGAGGUCCCUUCUGGGCUGGGUUUGUCCUGGGGGUGUAGAAGGGAGGCUGGGGAGAUCAGGAGAGGCAGGUGGGAGGGGCUCUCCAUUAUAGGAGGAGCAGGAGAGGAGCAGAGGGUGUUUGCCCUGCCCACUUGAGCCCAGGAAGCCUGGUGGGCUCCCAGGUGGGGUCCCCUACCAUCUGAGACCAGAGGUGGGAGAGAGAAGCAUGCUUGGGUCCCUUCUGUUUUGUUGAGCCUAAGCCCCACCUCCCACCCUCCCACCCCGCCUUUUCCUACCCUGUGGGUACUAAGAAUAGGCCCUGCCCAUCACCCAAACCUCAGCCCUUCUUAGGCCCCCACCCUCCACAACCAAGGCCUUUUCCACCUUUUUUUUCCUCCUCCUCUUUUUUACUAUUGUGGUUCUGUUUUACAUUCUGACUGUUUUUUCAUCUAUAUUUUUAUUUUUUUCUAAUAUAGCUGUUAGUUUCCUAGACUAAUUUUAUUUUUUACUUUGUUAUUGUUCUCCUUUAUUUAUCUGUUUAUUUUUUUGCCACCCUAUGCCACUUGCAGGAUCUUGGUUAAUGAGACAGGGGUCGGGCUGAAGCUCCUGUGGUGGGAGCUCCAAGUCAGAACCACUGGACUAACAGAGAACCUCAGACCCCAGGGAAUAUUCAUCAGAGUGAGGUCUCCCAGAAGUCUUCAUCUCAGCACCAAGACCCAGCUCUACCCAGCAGCCUACAAACUGCAGUGUUGGAGCCUCAGGCCAAACAACCAGUAAGACAGGAACACAAUCCCACUCAUUAAAAAAAGGAAAAAAAAAAAAAAGAGACAGAAAAAAUAUAUGUAACAGA